GGGAUUCUUGGUCAUUUAGAGGAAGUAAAAGUCGUAACAAGGUUUCCGUAGGUGAACCUGCGGAAGGAUCAUUAGUGAAUUGAGCUGGCUUCGGCCGCUCUGAUCUAUACACACCUGUGAACUGUUGGCCUUCGGGUCUUUAAAUACAACUGUGACGAACGUAAAUUAUUAUAACAAAUAAAACUUUUAACAACGGAUCUCUUGGCUCUCGCAUCGAUGAAGAACGCAGCGAAAUGCGAUAAGUAAUGUGAAUUGCAGAAUUCAGUGAAUCAUCGAAUCUUUGAACGCACCUUGCGCCCGUUGGUAUUCCGACGGGCAUGCCUGUUUGAGUGUCGUGAACAACCUCAACCUUGAUUGGUUUUACCAUCAAGGCUUGGACUUGGGUGUUGCUGCUGCAAAGUGGCUCGCCUUAAAAUCAUUAGCUGGACUUGUCUAUGACUUGGUUCGACUCGAUGUAAUAAGUAUUCAUCGGGGACAGGGUAAAACCUGGCCAAGGCUUGAUGCCGUCUGCUUCUAAUCAUGUUCUCACUAUGAGACGCUACUUUACUGUGUGGCCUCAAAUCAGGUAGGAUUACCCGCUGAACUUAAGCAUAUCAAUAAGCGGAGGAAAAGAAACUAACAAGGAUUCCCCUAGUAACGGCGAGUGAAGCGGGAUGAGCUCAAAUUUGUAAUCUGGUGGACUCAGUUCAUCCGAGUUGUAAUCUAUAGAAGUGUUUUCCGCGCUGGACCGU
rnacentral:rRNA from 1 species